rnacentral:tRNA from 1 species
GGUCGUGGCUCAGUGGUAGAGCACUUGCCUAGCACAUGUGAGGCACUGGGUUCGAUCCCAGCACCA